rnacentral:lncRNA from 1 species
UUCACAUUCUCAAAGCAUUUAAUAAACAUUUGCUUUUAAUCACUUUUGUUCUCAACACAAAAUUCUAACUCAAAUCACUAAUUCACAAUCAAAAUUUCUAUAUAGCAUCAUAAUCCAAAUAUCAUAACUCAUAUGCUUGUAUAAUUAUAACAUUCAUCAAUAAAAAAAAUGUUUUAUUCUUUGAUCCAUACCUUUAUGAGUUUCAACUCAUAAUCAAUACAUUUUCACUCAAACAUUUUAGUAUUUAUUUCUAUACUAUUAGAAUUAACUCAGUUGAAAAACAUAUCUGUCUCAUCAAGAUAAUUUUCGUCAUAGAACAAUACUGAUAAGGGGGUGAUGGUGAAGUCAUAAAUCUUUCAACUUGCUCUCAUAGAUACAUAUAUAUAUAUGAUUUUGUAUUCAUCAUCAAUGUAAUACCAUCAUAACCACGUAAUUCAUUCCAAGCAAAUUAACACAUCUAUUUAUUACAAAUGUUUUCUGUCACUCACAAUUUCACACAACGAAUUUACUUACUCAAGCUCAAUGUUAAUAUCUAAUUAAAUUCCAAUACUUGGCUUCUAUUUUACUUACCGACAUUUGCCAAAUUAGAGAACGUCUUACGGAAUUGAGUACUUCGUUUUCUCGAUGCCAUAGUCCAACUAUGGUCUUACACGUAAUCACAAAUCACAUACCGAUGCCAUAGCCCAGCUAUGGUCUUACACGAAAUCACAUAUCACUUAC